UACGAAGGGGGGCUAGCGUUGUUCGGAAUCACUGGGCGUAAAGGGUGCGUAGGCGGGUCUUUUAAGUCAGGGGUGAAAUCCUGGAGCUCAACUCCAGAACUGCCUUUAAGACUGCAUCGCUUGAAUCCAGGAGAGGUGAGUGGAAUUCCGAGUGUAGAGGUGAAAUUCGUAGAUAUUCGGAAGAACACCAGUGGCGAAGGCGGCUCACUGGACUGGUAUUGACGCUGAGGUGCGAAAGCGUGGGGAGCAAACAGGG
rnacentral:rRNA from 1 species